rnacentral:rRNA from 1 species
UGCCAGCCGCCGCGGUAAUACGCAGACUGCGAGCGUUACUCGGAUCCACUGGGCGUAAAGGGUGCGUAGGCGGACAGAUGUGUCAGGUGUGAAAGCCCAGAGCUCAACUCUGGAACUGCGCCUGAAACUAUUUGUCUAGAGUAUCGGAGAGGUAAGCGGAAUUCCUAGUGUAGCGGUGAAAUGCGUAGAUAUUAGGAGGAACACCAAAGGCGAAGGCAGCUUACUGGACGAUAACUGACGCUGAGGCACGAAAGCGUGGGGAGCGAAAAGGAUUAGAUA